CUACGAAGGCGGCUAGCGUUGUUCGGAAUCACUGGGCGUAAAGCGCGCGUAGGUGGAUCAAUUAGUUGAGGGUGAAAUCCCGGGGCUCAACCUCGGAACUGCCUUCAAUACUGUUGAUCUUGAGACCGAGAGAGGUGAGUGGAAUUCCUAGUGUAGAGGUGAAAUUCGUAGAUAUUAGGAAGAACACCAGUGGCGAAGGCGGCUCACUGGCUCGGUACUGACGCUGAGGUGCGAAAGCGUGGGGAGCAAACAGGAUUAGAAACCCCGGUAGUCC
rnacentral:rRNA from 1 species